rnacentral:rRNA from 1 species
GACGAACGCUGGCGGCGUGCUUAACACAUGCAAGUCGAACGGAAAGGCCCUGCUUUUGUGGGGUGCUCGAGUGGCGAACGGGUGAGUAACACGUGAGUAACCUGCCCUUGACUUUGGGAUAACUUCAGGAAACUGGGGCUAAUACCGGAUAGGAGCUCCUGCUGCAUGGUGGGGGUUGGAAAGUUUCGGCGGUUGGGGAUGGACUCGCGGCUUAUCAGCUUGUUGGUGGGGUAGUGGCUUACCAAGGCUUUGACGGGUAGCCGGCCUGAGAGGGUGACCGGCCACAUUGGGACUGAGAUGCGGCCCAGACUCCUACGGGAGGCAGCAGUGGGGAAUAUUGCACAAUGGGCGGAAGCCUGAUGCAGCAACGCCGCGUGCGGGAUGACGGCCUUCGGGUUGUAAACCGCUUUCGCCUGUGACGAAGCGUGAGUGACGGUAAUGGGUAAAGAAGCACCGACUAACUACGU